UACAGAGGGUGCGAGCGUUAAUCGGAAUCACUGGGCGUAAAGCGCACGUAGGCGGACUCUUAAGUCGGUGGUGAAAUCCUGGAGCUCAACUCCAGAACUGCCUUCGAUACUGAGAGUCUCGAGUCCGGGAGAGGUGAGUGGAACUGCGAGUGUAGAGGUGAAAUUCGUAGAUAUUCGCAAGAACACCAGUGGCGAAGGCGGCUCACUGGCCCGGUACUGACGCUGAGGUGCGAAAGCGUGGGGAGCAAACAGG
rnacentral:rRNA from 1 species